UACGUAUGGGGCAAGCGUUAUCCGGAUUCAUUGGGCGUAAAGAGCGCGUAGGCGGUUUGUUAAGCGAGAUGUGAAAACAGGGGGCUCAACCCGCUGCCUGCAUCUCGAACUGGCAGACUUGAGUCUGGUAGAGGAAAGUGGAAUUCCUAGUGUAGCGGUGAAAUGCGCAGAUAUUAGGAGGAACACCAGUGGCGAAGGCGGCUUUCUGGGCCACGACUGACGCUGAGGCGCGAAAGCUAGGGGAGCAAACAGG
rnacentral:rRNA from 1 species